AGCUCCAAUAGCGUAUAUUAAAGUUGUUGCAGUUAAAAAGCUCGUAGUUGAAUUUCUGGUCAUUUUUAGUUUGGCCUUGGUCAAGCUAGAGGUGGCCAUCCGUCUGCAAGCCUCUCUCGGCCUUCAUUGGUUUGGUUUGGCGAGCUGACAUUUUACUUUGAAAAAAUUAGAGUGUUUCAGGCAGGCUUUCGCCCGAAUACAUUAGCAUGGAAUAAUGGAAUUGGACUCUGGUCCAUUUGGUUGGUUAUUGGAUCUGAGUAAUGGUUAAUAGGGACAGUUGGGGGGCAUUAGUAUUUAAUUGUCAGAGGUGAAAUUCUUGGAUUUAUUAAAGACUAACUUAUGCGAAAGCAUUUGCCAAGGAUGUUUUCAUUAAUCAAGAACGAAAGUUAAGCACG
rnacentral:rRNA from 1 species